rnacentral:lncRNA from 10 species
GCGGCAGGGGUGGAGUCGCGAGGAGGCGCGAGGUCGUGCCUAGGAGCUGUGCAACGCCAGCCCUUGAGGAGGAAGCCAUCUGUUUCUGGAAUCACCCUCCCCGCCACGUAUAUGAGACAUAUCCUUGAUUGUCCGUGAAAUCAGGUGGUCCAGGGCCAGGUUGGUCCAUAGAGGGAGCAACAGGAAGACAGCCAUCUGCAAACCAGCAAGCUGACUUUCAGCAGAUGCUGCUUCUCCUGGCACCUUGAUCUUGGACUUCCUGGCCUCUAGAACUAUGAGAAAGAAAUGUUUAAGAUUUCCAGUCUGCAAACCAGCAAAUGGGCCCUCACCAGACACUGCCUGUCCUGGCACCUUGAUCUUGGACUUCUCAGCCUCCAGAAAUGUGAGAAAGAAAUGUUUUAAGUUUCCCAGUCUAUGAGAAUUUGUUAGAACAGAACAAACUGACUAAGACACUCACUAACAUGGUAUAUUACCAAUCUCUUAAAUUUUGCCAGUCUGAUAGGUGAAGUUACUCAUCUUUAUACAGCCAUUUCUUCUUCUGUGAGUCUCCUGUUCAUGUUUCAUGCGCAUUUUAAACAUCAAGUUGCUUUGCAUUUUUAUUGAUUUAUAGAAGGUCUUUAUGUAUUCUGGAAAGUAAUCCUGUAUUUUUCAUGCUUACUGCUACUCAUCCUAAUACUUUUGAGUGGAUUGGUUGGACCCUCAUUGGAUGCAGCAAGGGACAGGAAGGCAACUCAGGCAGCAAUCCAUGGCAGGCUGACCAAUAGCCAGUCACACAGGCAGAUUCACCAAGUCAGCAGAAGAAUUAGCUUUCCCUCCUUCUAGGCUUGGGAUUCUCUAACAGCAGAGAUGGCACUAAACAGGAGAUGUGGGCAAUAUUUGGUCUGUUUACCCUGUGACUACAUCAUUGGCAGAUAGAUACAACAGACCUGCAGUCCCCAAGAAUGUUUUGAAUUUUUUUUUUUUUUGAGACAGGGUCCUGCUCUGUUGCCCAGGCUGGAGUGCAGUGGUAUGAUCACGGCUCAUGCAGCCUCGACCUCCCAGGCCCAAGCAAUCCUCCCACCUCAGCCUCCUGGGUAGCUGGGACUGCAGGUGUGCACCACCACACCUGGCUAAGUUUCGUAUUUUUUUUUUUUGAG